rnacentral:rRNA from 1 species
CUUGCUGGGCGGAUCAGUGGCGAACGGGUGAGUAACACGUGAGUAACCUGCCCCAGACUCCGGGAUAAGCCUUGGAAACGAGGUCUAAUACUGGAUACGAGAUGCCCCUGCAUGGGGAGUGUCUGGAAAGAUUUAUCGGUCUGGGAUGGACUCGCGGCCUAUCAGCUUGUUGGUGGGGUAAUGGCCUACCAAGGCGACGACGGGUAGCCGGCCUGAGAGGGCGACCGGCCACACUGGGACUGAGACACGGCCCAGACUAAUACGGGAGGCAGCAGUGGGGAAUAUUGCACAAUGGGCGAAAGCCUGAUGCAGCGACGCCGCGUGAGGGAUGAAGGCCUUCGGGUUGUAAACCUCUUUCAGCAGGGAAGAAGCGCAAGUGACGGUACCUGCAGAAGAAGCGCCGGCUAACUACGUGCCAGCAGCCGCGGUAAUACGUAGGGCGCAAGCGUUGUCCGGAAUUAUUGGGCGUAAAGAGCUCGUAGGCGGUUUGUCGCGUCUGGUGUGAAAACUCAAGGCUCAACCUUGAGCUUGCAUCGGGUACGGGCAGACUAGAGUGCGGUAGGGGUGACUGGAAUUCCUGGUGUAGCGGUGGAAUGCGCAGAUAUCAGGAGGAACACCGAUGGCGAAGGCAGGUCACUGGGCCGCAACUGACGCUGAGGAGCGAAAGCAUGGGGAGCGAACAGGAUUAGAUACCCUGGUAGUCCAUGCCGUAAACGUUGGGCACUAGGUGUGGGGCUCAUUCCACGAGUUCCGUGCCGCAGCAAACGCAUUAAGUGCCCCGCCUGGGGAGUACGGCCGCAAGGCUAAAACUCAAAGGAAUUGACGGGGGCCCGCACAAGCGGCGGAGCAUGCGGAUUAAUUCGAUGCAACGCGAAGAACCUUACCAAGGCUUGACAUACACCGGAAACUUCCAGAGAUGGUUGCCCCGCAAGGUCGGUGUACAGGUGGUGCAUGGUUGUCGUCAGCUCGUGUCGUGAGAUGUUGGGUUAAGUCCCGCAACGAGCGCAACCCUCGUCUUAUGUUGCCAGCACGUCAUGGUGGGGACUCAUAAGAGACUGCCGGGGUCAACUCGGAGGAAGGUGGGGAUGACGUCAAAUCAUCAUGCCCCUUAUGUCUUGGGCUUCACGCAUGCUACAAUGGCCGGUACAAAGGGCUGCGAUACCGCGAGGUGGAGCGAAUCCCAAAAAGCCGGUCUCAGUUCGGAUUGGGGUCUGCAACUCGACCCCAUGAAGUCGGAGUCGCUAGUAAUCGCAGAUCAGCAUAGAAGCGGUGAAUUCGUUCCCGGGCCUUGUACACAACGCCCCAAUAGAAGGAAAGUCGGUAACUAUCCGGAACCGGUGGACCUUUUCUUGU